rnacentral:rRNA from 1 species
UACGUAGGGUGCAAGCGUUAAUCGGAAUUACUGGGCGUAAAGCGUGCGCAGGCGGUUGUGUAAGACAGAUGUGAAAGCCCUGGGCUCAACCUGGGAAUGGCAUUGGAUACUGGCGGACUGGAGUGCGGUAGAGGAUGGCGGAAUUCCCGGUGUAGCAGUGAAAUGCGUAGAGAUCGGGAGGAACAUCUGUGGCGAAGGCGGCCAUCUGGACCAGCACUGACACUGAGGCACGAAAGCGUGGGGAGCAAACAGG